rnacentral:rRNA from 1 species
UGGGGAAUAUUGCACAAUGGGGGAAACCCUGAUGCAGCGACGCCGCGUGAGCGAAGAAGGUUUUCGAAUCGUAAAGCUCUGUCCUAUGGGAAGAUAAUGACGGUACCAUAGGAGGAAGCCCCGGCUAACUACGUGCCAGCAGCCGCGGUAAUACGUAGGGGGCAAGCGUUGUCCGGAAUCACUGGGCGUAAAGGGUUCGCAGGCGGAAAUGCAAGUCAGUUGUGAAAGGCAGAGGCUCAACCUCUGUAAGCAAUUGAAACUGUAUUGCUUGAGAUGUGGAGAGGCAAGUGGAAUUCCUAGUGUAGCGGUGAAAUGCGUAGAUAUUAGGAAGAAUACCGGUGGCGAAGGCGACUUGCUGGACACAAACUGACGCUGAGGAACGAAAGCGUGGGUAGCAAACAGG